CCUGGCUCAGAGUGAACGCUGGCGGUAGGCCUAACACAUGCAAGUCGAACGGCAGCACAGAGGAGCUUGCUCCUUGGGUGGCGAGUGGCGGACGGGUGAGGAAUACAUCGGAAUCUACUCUGUCGUGGGGGAUAACGUAGGGAAACUUACGCUAAUACCGCAUACGACCUACGGGUGAAAGCAGGGGAUCUUCGGACCUUGCGCGAUUGAAUGAGCCGAUGUCGGAUUAGCUAGUUGGCGGGGUAAAGGCCCACCAAGGCGACGAUCCGUAGCUGGUCUGAGAGGAUGAUCAGCCACACUGGAACUGAGACACGGUCCAGACUCCUACGGGAGGCAGCAGUGGGGAAUAUUGGACAAUGGGCGCAAGCCUGACCAGCCAUACCGCGUGGGUGAAGAGGCCUUCGGGUUGUAAAGCCCUUUUGU
rnacentral:rRNA from 1 species